UACAGAGGUCUCAAGCGUUGUUCGGAUUCAUUGGGCGUAAAGGGUGCGUAGGCGGCGCGGUAAGUCGGGUGUGAAAUCUCAGAGCUCAACUCUGAAACUGCACUCGAUACUGCUUUGCUAGAGGACUGGAGAGGAGAUUGGAAUUCACGGUGUAGCAGUGAAAUGCGUAGAGAUCGUGAGGAAGACCAGUGGCGAAGGCGGAUCUCUGGACAGUUCCUGACGCUGAGGCGCGAAGGCCAGGGGGAGCAAACGGGG
rnacentral:rRNA from 1 species